rnacentral:misc_RNA from 1 species
AUGGAUGUUCGGCAUUUGGAUGGAGUUCUAUGCAACUGAUUACAUAAGACAGGCAGGAGUUGGUACAUUGACCUCUUUGUAAAAAGUAGACUAGAAGCUCAUAAUAUCAGAGAACUAAGAAGUACAGGUGCUUUUAUCAUGGAGAAAAGUCUUGCUAAUACUUCAAUGGCCAAAUAGGAUCAACAAUGACUUUCAAUAAGGUGCAUGUAAUGGUAGUUAUUUCAGAAGGGCACUUUAUGAGGCAUUAUAUAGUAAGAAGUGUAGAUCCCCUCUAUGUUAGAUAAAAGUUGGAGAUGUGAGAGUAUAUGAUUUAGAUUUGGUGCAGUCUACUUCAGAUAUGGUUCCUUUGAUUGGGGAACGUUUAAAGACAGUUUUCAGUAGGCAAAAGAGUUAUGCAAAUCCAAGGUGGAAAGAUGUAGAAUUUGCAAUGGGUGACUAUGUGUUCCUAAGUGUCUCCCUUAUGAAGGGAGUCAUGAGGUUUCGAAAGAAAGGCAAACUGGCACCCUAAUACAUAGGGCCUUUUGAGAUCAAAGACAGAGUAGGAGCAGUUGCCUACUGGCUAGAGUUACCA